rnacentral:rRNA from 1 species
CAGGCCUAACACAUGCAAGUCGAGGGGUAUAGUUCUUCGGAACUAGAGACCGGCGCACGGGUGCGUAACGCGUAUGCAAUCUACCUUUUGCAGAGGGAUAGCCCAGAGAAAUUUGGAUUAAUACCUCAUAGUAUGUGAGAAUGGCAUCAUUUUCACAUUAAAGUCACAACGGCAAAAGAUGAGCAUGCGUCCCAUUAGCUAGUUGGUAAGGUAACGGCUUACCAAGGCAACGAUGGGUAGGGGUCCUGAGAGGGAGAUCCCCCACACUGGUACUGAGACACGGACCAGACUCCUACGGGAGGCAGCAGUGAGGAAUAUUGGACAAUGGGCGCAACUNNAUCCAGCCAUGCCGCGUGCAGGAUGACGGUCCUAUGGAUUGUAAACUGCUUUUGUACAGGAAGAAACACUGGUUCGUGAACCAGCUUGACGGUACUGUAAGAAUAAGGAUCGGCUAACUCCGUGCCAGCAGCCGCGGUAAUACGGAGGAUCCAAGCGUUAUCCGGAAUCAUUGGGUUUAAAGGGUCCGUAGCGGGUUUAGUAAGUCAGUGGUGAAAGCCCAUCGUUCAACGGUGGAACGGCCAUUGAUACUGCUAGACUUGAAUUAUUAGGARGUAACUAGAAUAUGUAGUGUAGCGGUGAAAUGCUUAGAGAUUACAUGGAAUACCAAUUGCGAGGCAGGUUACUACUAAUGGAUUGACGCUGAUGGACGAAAGCGUGGGUAGCGACCAGGAUUAGAUACCCUGGUAGUCCACGCCGUAAACGAUGGAUACUAAGCUUUUGGGGGCAACUUCAGUGCUAAGCGAAGUGAUAGUAUCCACUUG